rnacentral:rRNA from 1 species
GAUGAACGCUGGCGGCGUGCCUAAUACAUGCAAGUCGAGCGAACGGACGAGAAGCUUGCUUCUCUGAUGUUAGCGGCGGACGGGUGAGUAACACGUGGAUAACCUACCUAUAAGACUGGGAUAACUUCGGGAGACCGUAGCUAAUACCGGAUAAUAUUUUGAACCGCAUGGUUCAAAAGUGAAAGACGGUCUUGCUGUCACUUAUAGAUGGAUCCGCGCUGCAUUAGCUAGUUGGUAAGGUAACGGCUUACCAAGGCAACGAUGCAUAGCCGACCUGAGAGGGUGAUCGGCCACACUGGAACUGAGACACGGUCCAGACUCCUACGGGAGGCAGCAGUAGGGAAUCUUCCGCAAUGGGCGAAAGCCUGACGGAGCAACGCCGCGUGAGUGAUGAAGGUCUUCGGAUCGUAAAACUCUGUUAUUAGGGAAGAACAUAUGUGUAAGUAACUGUGCACAUCUUGACGGUACCUAAUCAGAAAGCCACAGCUAACUACGUG